rnacentral:rRNA from 1 species
GGUUGCGAUCAUACCAGCACUAAUGCACCGGAUCCCAUCAGAACUCCGCAAUUAAGCGUGCUUGGGCGAGAGUAGUACUAGGAUGGUGACCCCCUGGGAAGUCCUCGUGUUGCAACCC